UACGUAGGUGGCAAGCGUUGUCCGGAUUUAUUGGGUUUAAAGGGUGCGUAGGCGGCUUAAUAAGUCAGUGGUGAAAGCCGAUCGCUUAACGAUCGAACUGCCAUUGAUACUGCUAGGCUUGAGUAUAGUUGAGGUAGGCGGAAUUGACAGUGUAGCGGUGAAAUGCAUAGAUAUUGUCAAGAACACCAAUUGCGAAGGCAGCUUACUAAAGUAUAACUGACGCUGAGGCACGAAAAGUGCGGGGAUCAAACAGG
rnacentral:rRNA from 1 species